GCUCGCACUUCCGCAUCAAGGCCAAUCGCCUCGGGGUGCCACCAUUCACAAUCUAGUAGUUACACCUCGCGUCGCUGCCGCAUGCAGCACUGUGGUGGUGUGGUCACGUCUCAUCCGUAUAUGGAACUUUCUUCCCAGCACCCACCCCACCCCCGUCAGCACCAUCUAUUUCCCUCCACACCCCGACAGCAGCCGCCUCUGCUCAGCUGUAAAACAAAAACACGCGCGAAAACAAUGAAGCUGGAGCCGCGCGAGCGUCGGCUGCGGUCGGACUACAUUCUAGACAACGCAGCUGCGUUGCAGCUGGGCAAGCUCUACCUCGGUUGGGGCCGCAGCAAAAGACGCUCGAAGCCCAAGCGCGCAACACCCGCUGCUGUGCCGAAGCCGAAGGCAGCGCCAGUAAAGGCUUCCACGAAGAAGACAAGCAAGACAGCGGCGGCAAAAUCGUCGCCAGUGUCGGAGAAGGCAGCGAGGACAGCGCCACGAACGCCAACAAAGCAAGUACCCACGAAGCCUGCCACGCGUGCACCCCCAGUAGAGAAACGUCCCCGUGGAAGGCCGCGCAAAACGACAUCACCGGCUGCAGCCAUCAAGAGCGUGCCGCCCAAAACCAGAAGCCGCGGACGUCCCGCGACGGCACCAGCGAAGGCACCGCCAAAGGCGGCCACCCGGGAUAGCGUGCGACCCUGCAAGAACCCGAACCCGGUGGUGAAGUCGAUCUCCUCCAAGGUGGUGGCUGCAGCGACGGCCGCCGCCGCGGCCGUGAGUGCCAGCGCCAAGGUACCAGCCACGCCGCUGCCGCACACGCCUCGCAAGACCGCCAAGGUGCUCGCCACGAAGACUGUCGUGCAGCAGCACCGUCGAAGGGCAAACAACAAGGUACCGCCAGUGAUCCCCAACCCGGUACCUACGCCGGCACUCUUGCUUGGCGCAGCAGAGCAGUGGGUCGACAGGGGCGACGUAACCGUUCUAGUGCGCACCAUGAACGGGACAAGCUUCCGCCUGGCAUGCACCUCCGAGUCGACCCUGUGGGACCUCAAGCGUCGCAUCCUGGAGGUCAUCAUGCCCUGGACUGCAUCGGCGUCUCCAGGCUCGAUGGUGCGCUUGCCGAUGCUGGUCAUGAACGGGCGUGCGCUGGGGCCAGAGACUGCCACGCUAGCCGCCCUGCGCUUCUCGGCGGAGUCGACGGUCUACUGCUUUCCCGAGCCGAACUAAGCCGUGCCCGCCGCUAGCGGCUCAACACCUAAACUUGCACUGUUCUCCUUUCGCCCUCCACCCUCCCGCUGAACAACUAUGUCCCCGCCCCGCCUUCCCACCUAUGCGCCUCUCCCCGGAGUGCGCCAUCCUCGGAGCGAAAAAAAAAAGCGCGGGGUGGGAUUCAUGUUGGCCGCCUGGCGGCCCCGUGCCGCGAAAACCCGCCCGCCCCGACCUCAUGGCGGCGGCCCUGCGAAGACAAAGCCCCCCACCGCCCUGCCCCUCCCCCCUGGCCGCCGAAAAGGGGCACCCUCCCCGGGCCGCCACCCUCCCCCGCGCGGCACCGGCCAAGGGGCCGG
rnacentral:misc_RNA from 1 species